rnacentral:rRNA from 1 species
AACGCUAGCUACAGGCUUAACACAUGCAAGUCGAGGGGCAGCAUUGGAGUAGCAAUACUUCAGAUGGCGACCGGCGCACGGGUGAGUAACACGUAUCCAACCUGCCGCUUACUCGGGGAUAGCCUUUCGAAAGAAAGAUUAAUACCCGAUGGUAUAAAGAGUUCGCAUGUUCUCUUUAUUAAAGAAUUUCGGUAAGCGAUGGGGAUGCGUUCCAUUAGAUUGUUGGCGGGGUAACGGCCCACCAAGUCUACGAUGGAUAGGGGUUCUGAGAGGAAGGUCCCCCACAUUGGAACUGAGACACGGUCCAAACUCCUACGGGAGGCAGCAGUGAGGAAUAUUGGUCAAUGGACGCGAGUCUGAACCAGCCAAGUAGCGUGAAGGAUGACUGCCCUAUGGGUUGUAAACUUCUUUUAUAAGGGAAUAAAGUGAGGGACGUGUCCCUUUUUGUAUGUACCUUAUGAAUAAGGAUCGGCUAACUCCGUGCCAGCAGCCGCGGUAAUACGGAGGAUCCAAGCGUUAUCCGGAUUUAUUGGGUUUAAAGGGAGCGUAGGUUGACAUAUAAGUCAGCUGUGAAAGUUUACGGCUCAACCGUGAAAUUGCAGUUGAUACUGUAUGUCUUGAGUGUACAAGAGGUGGGCGGAAUUCGUGGUGUAGCGGUGAAAUGCUUAGAUAUCACGAAGAACUCCGAUUG